CCCUUAGAUGUCCGGGGCUGCACGCGCGCCACACUGAGUGGAUCAGCGUGUGUCUACCCUUCGCCGAGAGGCGUGGGUAACCCGCUGAACCCCACUCGUGAUAGGGAUUGGGGAUUGCAAUUAUCCCCCAUGAACGAGGAAUUCCCAGUAAGCGCGAGUCAUCAGCUCGCGUUGAUUACGUCCCUGCCCUUUGUACACACCGCCCGUCGCUACUACCGAUUGGAUGGUUUAGUGAGACCCUCGGAUCGGUCCCGACUCGGGGUGGGCUUCUGCCCCGGUCGUGGUUUCGCCGAGAAGACGGUCAAACUUGACUAUCUAGAGGAAGUAAAAGUCGUAACG
rnacentral:rRNA from 1 species